AUACGGAGGGUGCGAGCGUUGUUCGGAUUUAUUGGGCGUAAAGCGCGUGUAGGCGGUUUGUUAAGUCUGAUGUGAAAGCCCUGGGCUCAACCUGGGAAGUGCAUUGGAAACUGGCAGACUUGAAUACGGGAGAGGGUAGUGGAAUUCCUAGUGUAGGAGUGAAAUCCGUAGAUAUUAGGAGGAACACGGUGGCGAAGGCGGCUACCUGGACCGAUACUGACGCCGAGACGCGAAAGCGUGGGGAGC
rnacentral:rRNA from 1 species